rnacentral:rRNA from 1 species
CUUAUGCGUUGUUGGGUAGGGGAGCGUUCUGUAAGCCUGUGAAGGUGUGUCGUGAGGCAUGCUGGAGGUAUCAGAAGUGCGAAUGCUGACAUAAGUAACGAUAAAGCGGGUGAAAAGCCCGCUCGCCGGAAGACCAAGGGUUCCUGUCCAACGUUAAUCGGGGCAGGGUGAGUCGACCCCUAAGGCGAGGCCGAAAGGCGUAGUCGAUGGGAAACGGGUUAAUAUUCCCGUACUUGGUGUUACUGCGAAGGGGGGACGGAGAAGGCUAUGUUGGCCGGGCGACGGUUGUCCCGGUUUAAGCGUGUAGGUGUGUGUUCCAGGUAAAUCCGGUU